rnacentral:sRNA from 1 species
GGCGGUGAAGUAAGGGAGUGCGCCGAUAUGCAUUGCCUUACGGAGCCUGCAGGAGGGGGCAGCAAAGCCUCAGACUGGCGCAGACUGCAAGGCUGAAAGAAAAUGUU